rnacentral:rRNA from 1 species
GUCGAGAGGCUUCGGCAAUGGGGGAAACCCUGACCGAGCGACGCCGCGUGGGCGAUGAAGGCCUUCGGGUUGUAAAGCCCUUUCAGGUGGGAAGAAAGGCGGACGGGUGAAUAAUCCGCCCGCUGUGACGGUACCGCCAGAAGAAGCUCCGGCUAACUCCGUGCCAGCAGCCGCGGUAAUACGGGGGGAGCAAGCGUUGUUCGGAUUCAUUGGGCGUAAAGGGCGCGUAGGCGGCCUGGCAAGUCCGACGUGAAAUGUACCGGUUCAACCGGGGCACCGUGUCGGAAACUGCCUGGCUUGAGGCCGAGGGAGGAAGGUGGAAUUCCUGGUGUAGCGGUGAAAUGCGUAGAUAUCAGGAGGAACACCCGUGGCGAAGGCGGCCUUCUAUCUCGGUACUGACGCUGAGGCGCGAAAGCUAGGGGAGCAAACGGGAUUAGAUACCCUAGUAGUCC